UACGUAGGGUGCAGGCGUUAAUCGGAAUUACUGGGCGGAAAGCGUGCGCAGGCGGUUUGUUAAGACAGAUGUGAAAUCCCCGGGCUUAACCUGGGAACUGCGUUUGUAACUGGCAAGCUAGAGUGUGGCAGAGGGGGGUGGAAUUCCAAGUGUAGCAGUGAAAUGCGUAGAUAUUUGGAGGAACACCAAUGGCGAAGGCAGCCCCCUGGGUUAACACUGACGCUCAUGCACGCAAGCGUGGGGAGCAAACAGG
rnacentral:rRNA from 1 species